GACAGAGGGGGCAAGCGUUGCUCGGAAUUACUGGGCGUAAAGGGCGCGUAGGCGGGAUGGCAAGUCGGUCGUGAAAUCCCUCGGCUCAACCGAGGAACGUCGAUCGAUACUGCUGUUCUUGAGGAUUGCAGAGGAGACUGGAAUUCCCGGUGUAGCGGUGAAAUGUGUAGAGAUCGGGAGGAACACCUGAGGUGAAGACGGGUUGCUGGGCUGACACUGACGCUGAGGCGCGAAAGCCAGGGGAGCAAACGGG
rnacentral:rRNA from 1 species